UCGAGCGAACAGAUAAGGAGCUUGCUCCUUUGACGUUAGCGGCGGACGGGUGAGUAACACGUGGGUAACCUACCUAUAAGACUGGGAUAACUUCGGGAAACCGGAGCUAAUACCGGAUAACAUUUGGAACCGCAUGGUUCUAAAGUGAAAGAUGGUUUUGCUAUCACUUAUAGAUGGACCCGCGCCGUAUUAGCUAGUUGGUAAGGUAACGGCUUACCAAGGCGACGAUACGUAGCCGACCUGAGAGGGUGAUCGGCCACACUGGAACUGAGACACGGUCCAGACUCCUACGGGAGGCAGCAGUAGGGAAUCUUCCGCAAUGGGCGAAAGCCUGACGGAGCAACGCCGCGUGAGUGAUGAAGGGUUUCGGCUCGUAAAACUCUGUUAUUAGGGAAGAACAAACGUGUAAGUAACUGUGCACGUCUUGACGGUACCUAAUCAGAAAGCCACGGCUAACUACGUGCCAGCAGCCGCGGUAAUACGUAGGUGGCAAGCGUUAUCCGGAAUUAUUGGGCGUAAAGCGCGCGUAGGCGGUUUCUUAAGUCUGAUGUGAAAGCCCACGGCUCAACCGUGGAGGGUCAUUGGAAACUGGGAAACUUGAGUGCAGAAGAGGAAAGUGGAAUUCCAUGUGUAGCGGUGAAAUGCGCAGAGAUAUGGAGGAACACCAGUGGCGAAGGCGACUUUCUGGUCUGUAACUGACGCUGAUGUGCGAAAGCGUGGGGAUCAAACAGGAUUAGAUACCCUGGUAGUCCACGCCGUAAACGAUGAGUGCUAAGUGUUAGGGGUUUCCGCCCCUUAGU
rnacentral:rRNA from 1 species